rnacentral:rRNA from 1 species
UGCAAGUCGAACGGCAGCACGGGGGCAACCCUGGUGGCGAGUGGCGAACGGGUGAGUAAUACAUCGGAACGUGUCCUGUAGUGGGGGAUAGCCCGGCGAAAGCCGGAUUAAUACCGCAUACGCUCUGCGGAGGAAAGCGGGGGAUCUUAGGACCUCGCGCUACAGGGGCGGCCGAUGGCAGAUUAGCUAGUUGGUGGGGUAAAGGCCUACCAAGGCGACGAUCUGUAGCUGGUCUGAGAGGACGACCAGCCACACUGGGACUGAGACACGGCCCAGACUCCUACGGGAGGCAGCAGUGGGGAAUUUUGGACAAUGGGCGCAAGCCUGAUCCAGCAAUGCCGCGUGUGUGAAGAAGGCCUUCGGGUUGUAAAGCACUUUUGUCCGGAAAGAAAUCCUUUGGGCUAAUACCCCGGGGGGAUGACGGUACCGGAAGAAUAAGCACCGGCUAACUACGUGCCAGCAGCCGCGGUAAUACGUAGGGUGCAAGCGUUAAUCGGAAUUACUGGGCGUAAAGCGUGCGCAGGCGGUUCGCUAAGACAGAUGUGAAAUCCCCGGGCUUAACCUGGGAACUGCAUUUGUGACUGGCGGGCUAGAGUAUGGCAGAGGGGGGUAGAAUUCCACGUGUAGCAGUGAAAUGCGUAGAGAUGUGGAGGAAUACCGAUGGCGAAGGCAGCCCCCUGGGCCAAUACUGACGCUCAUGCACGAAAGCGUGGGGAGCAAACAGGAUUAGAUACCCUGGUAGUCCACGCCCUAAACGAUGUCAACUAGUUGUCGGGUCUUCAUUGACUUGGUAACGAAGCUAACGCGUGAAGUUGACCGCCUGGGGAGUACGGUCGCAAGAUUAAAACUCAAAGGAAA